rnacentral:pre_miRNA from 1 species
GACCUACUCACUCCGUUCGGAAUUACUUGUCACGAAAAUGGAUGUAUCUAGAUGUAUUUUAGUUCUAGAUACAUCCAUUUUCAAGACAAGUAAUUCCGAACGGAGGGAGUACUUG